rnacentral:rRNA from 1 species
AUUGAACGCUGGCGGCAGGCCUAACACAUGCCAGUCGAGCGGAUGAAGGGAGCUUGCUCCUGGAUUCAGCGGCGGACGGGUGAGUAAUGCCUAGGAAUCUGCCUGGUAGUGGGGGAUAACGUCCGGAAACGGGCGCUAAUACCGCAUACGUCCUGAGGGAGAAAGUGGGGGAUCUUCGGACCUCACGCUAUCAGAUGAGCCUAGGUCGGAUUAGCUAGUUGGUGGGGUAAAGGCCUACCAAGGCGACGAUCCGUAACUGGUCUGAGAGGAUGAUCAGUCACACUGGAACUGAGACACGGUCCAGACUCCUACGGGAGGCAGCAGUGGGGAAUAUUGGACAAUGGGCGAAAGCCUGAUCCAGCCAUGCCGCGUGUGUGAAGAAGGUCUUCGGAUUGUAAAGCACUUUAAGUUGGGAGGAAGGGCAGUAAGUUAAUACCUUGCUGUUUUGGCGUUACCAACAGAAUAAGCACCGGCUAACUUCGUG